GAUCGAGUGAAGCAAGCAAAUGAG
rnacentral:siRNA from 1 species